rnacentral:rRNA from 1 species
UACGUAGGGGGCAAGCGUUAUCCGGAAUUACUGGGUGUAAAGGGAGAGUAGGCGGCAUGGUAAGUUAGAUGUGAAAGCCCGAGGCUUAACCUCGGGAUUGCAUUUAAAACUAUCAAGCUAGAGUACAGGAGAGGUAAGUGGAAUUCCUAGUGUAGCGGUGAAAUGCGUAGAUAUUAGGAAGAACACCAGUGGCGAAGGCGACUUACUGGACUGAAACUGACGCUGAGGCUCGAAAGCGUGGGGAG